rnacentral:rRNA from 1 species
GAUGAACGCUAGCGGGAGGCCUAACACAUGCAAGCCGAGCGGUAUUUCUUCUUCGGAAGAGAGAGAGCGGCGCACGGGUGCGUAACACGUGUGCAACCUACCUUUAUCUGGGGGAUAGCCUUUCGAAAGGAAGAUUAACACCCCAUAAUAUAUUGAAUGGCAUCAUUUGAUAUUGAAAACUCCGGUGGAUAAAGAUGGGCACGCGCAAGAUUAGAUAGUUGGUGAGGUAACGGCUCACCUAGUCAAUGAUCUUUAGGGGUCCUGAGAUGGAGAUCCCCCACACUGGUACUCGGAAACGGACCAGACUCCUACGGGAGGCAGCAGUGAUGAAUAUUUGACAAUGGGUGAAAGCCUGAUCCAGCCAUCCCGCGUGAAGGAUGACGGUCCUAUGGAUUGUAAACUUCUUUUGUACAGGAAUAAACCUACUCUCGUGAGAGUAGCUGAAGGUACUGUACGAAUAAGCACCGGCUAACUCCGUGCCAGCAGCCGCCGUAA